GACGAACGCUGGCGGCGUGCUUAACACAUGCAAGUCGAGCGAUGAAGCUUCCUUCGGGAAGUGGAUUAGCGGCGGACGGGUGAGUAACACGUGGGUAACCUGCCUCAAAGUGGGGGAUAGCCUUCCGAAAGGAAGAUUAAUACCGCAUAAUAUGAGAGAAUCGCAUGAUUUUCUUAUCAAAGAUUUAUUGCUUUGAGAUGGACCCGCGGCGCAUUAGCUAGUUGGUAAGGUAACGGCUUACCAAGGCAACGAUGCGUAGCCGACCUGAGAGGGUGAUCGGCCACAUUGGAACUGAGACACGGUCCAGACUCCUACGGGAGGCAGCAGUGGGGAAUAUUGCGCAAUGGGGGGAAACCCUGACGCAGCAACGCCGCGUGGGUGAUGAAGGUCUUCGGAUUGUAAAGCCCUGUUUUCUGGGUACGAUAAUGACGGUACCAGAGGAGGAAGCCACGGCUAACUACGUGCCAGCACCGCGGUCGAGUACAUGCAU
rnacentral:rRNA from 1 species